UGGAUCACCUCCUAACAGGGAGACAAUACCUGACCGUGAUGUCUGAGUACUUUAUUCUCAGGCCAUGAUCCUGUCAUCUCGAAGGUCGAUCGGUGCCUCAAUUUGAGGGUAAGAGAAGGGAUGAGCAAUCAUUUCUGAGACUUAUCAAUCAAUUUCAGUUCCUAAACUUUGUCUAGGUCACCCCACAGGGCUGUCAAACAAUUGUUUGACGCUACUGAGCGGUAGCAACUCCUGGGCCAUUAGCUCAGGUGGUUAGAGCGCACCCCUGAUAAGGGUGAGGUCCCUGGUUCAAGUCCAGGAUGGCCCAUUCGUGUUUGGGGGUUUAGCUCAGUUGGUAGAGCGCCUGCUUUGCAAGCAGGAUGUCAGCGGUUCGAGUCCGCUAACCUCCAUCCAAUGCUGUUGCUCUUCCCUCGGACCAUGCAUGCUCAUGAUAGUGUGUGAGGUAAGGAGUUUUGCUGUUGUGUUGAUCUAGAUCGUUGUUCGCUGAAGAUUUCAGCUUCUUUUCAUUCUUGCCUGGUUCAAGGAUAAGUUGAAAAGACGCUGGAUUCAAGGGUGCCCUGGCAACAGGGCCAUUUGAAUGUCAGCAGAACCUUGACAACUGCAUAGUUGAAGUCUGGAAAUAAAGCAUCUCAUGGAUGCUUGAUUCAGGUCUGAAGUCAAGUCCAGCAAUGGAUUUGAUGAAGGAUGGGAAUCAAGAAAAUUCUAUUGAGUUUUUAGAGCCGAGAGCUUCCAGUUUUCUUCUGAGUCCGCCGAGGGUUUGGGAGUUUGAUCCUGGCAUUCAAACCGCAAGCGAGAGUCUGAGCAAUCAGGGUUGAAGGUUGUAGGUGAAUCUAGAGAGAAUAGGCCUCAACAGCCUGAAGGACUGGGAGUUGAAAUUGGUCAAGCUACAAAGGGCUCACGGUGGAUACCUUGGCACACAGAGGCGAUGAAGG
rnacentral:tRNA from 1 species